CAUCCAACUAAUCGUUUCUCCUUCAUGCAGAACCCAUUCUUGGGCAGUUAAGACGUUGAAGUAUAACUGAGAACUUUUCAAUAGUGCUGCAAAUGGGGGGAAGUCGAUUUCAAAGCAAAACUCUAGAAAAACCUAAUUAGAUCAAACGUGAAAAACAACAAAUUUUAUACUUCAGGAAAACCAGAAUUCAUCCUGAUGUUGGGUUAUGAGUCAGAUGCAUUCGAUUGAGCUUUAUUAACAGGUUGAUGAGUUCAUUUAUGCUGAUAUCCAGAGUCUUUACCCAGUAAUCCUAAAUCCAUCACUUCUCCCAUCUUCACAGUAUGAGCAAUUUUCUGAAGAUGUUUGUGGCAGCUUACGCGUCUCUCUCUCUAAAGGAACAAAUUUGUUUAAGAAAACAAAAGAAAAUUCAAUACCCUUUAUGCAAGGGAUGUUGCUAGAAGAAUUAAUUGUUAAUAAACAACACUAUUAAUUUGAUUGUCACAACUGGGAUAUUAGAGGAGUUUCAUUAGGCAAUCUUGGGUUUGGACGGCAAGAAUUUGAAAAAUGGUUUGGAAUCAAUACUUCUAUAUAGUGGGUGUAUCAUUUUAUGUUCGAAACUUCUCAUAGUGAUGAGAGGAUCCUCAACUUCGAGGUUAACACAGAAAAGCACAACUGAUAUAUCAAUCAUGAUGUGUGGUCUUAAAACGGUAUGGUGAUUCAUUGCCUGUACUUUUUAUUUUGAUUAUUGUGUAUAGCUCUCUAGCUGGAUACUAAAAUAUGUGAGUUCGAUCAAGUGGGUUUGUAUCAAAGGGAAAUGUCAAAACAAUGGGCCAUCUGUCAAAACAAUGGGGACCAUCUGUUAAUAUGCUUAGAUGCUGAAGUAGAUAUAUUCAAUUUAGAUUGCUUGCGAUGCAUAAACAUAAAAGUAAACUUACUGUCUGAAAAUUUAUCCUUUUAUAAUUUGUAGUGCCGUAUUUGUUAGAGAGCAUUCUGUUCACCUGCUUCCGUUUUCUAAAAUCGUGUAGAUAUAUGCAUCUGAACUUCACAGAGAGAAAUCAGUAAAAUCAUCUUGCUUUUGGUAUGAAAAAACCUAUAAGAAUAAUCUUCUACUGUUGUAGUUUGUUUAGCUUUAAAUCUUUAGUUUUGUUUUAUAAAAAAGCCAGUGCUUUCUUGAAACAUCCAUAGCCCGGGGCAGUUUGAUGUUAGUUUUUGUUCCAUAUAUAAGCAGGCUCUUUAGUCUCUUUCAUUUAUUGGGUCUUUAACCUCUGUCAUGUUUUGAAGUUGAAACAGACUUGAAACUGAUAGUGUGUGAAAACUAUCCUACCCGGUGCAUGUAAUUGUAGUUCUAAGAAUCCUAUUUUGGAUUGUAUAUUCAGUUAAGAAUGGUCAAAUUGUAGACCUGCGUUGUUGAUAAAUCUAUUAAGUUUGCAGCGUCAUUCAUAAACCUGAAAUUCCACUUUAGUGUAGCUCAUCUACUAUUAUUUAGUGGAUGAGAUGGGUGUUCCGGAGAACUUAAGGACUGACCUAUGUUUGAUUUCUUCAUGGUUAGGCAAACUUUGGAAGUAGUUUAGCUUUAUGAUAGUACCACAGUGCUUCAGAUACUAGAUAGUUUCAGACUGCAGAUUACUUCAGAUAUUAAAUCAAAAUAACAGUAUGCUCAUAUUUGUUGAAAGAGUGUACCAGAAAAACCAACAGAAGUAUCCCAACAUCCUCCAUUUACAAGAUUAUUAGUGGUGUGGCUGUGCCUACGAUGACAGCGUAUCAUUUGUCACCAUUGCUUAUUUCAGUGUUGUUUAAUUGAUCAAUUCAUUGAUUUAUGAAGAUCUCCAUCCUCCUUUUCUGAUCAUCUGAUUUUGUUUUGUUAUGUCUUUGACUUUGGCGUAAUUAAGAACUACUUUCAAUAUUACAUAGUAGGAGAGUGUAACUACUUCAGAUAAUAACAGAGUGUUCAUCUCAGUUAAAUGUAUUCAGUAAUGUUAUGUAGCUUCAUUAAAUCUAUUCACUAACUUUCACCAUCUAAAUUUGAGCAUUUGGAUGUGGUACCUAACAGGGGAAAUAAGUCAUUCCAGACUUAUGGUAUUCCUCAUGAGGAAAAAUAUAAUAUCGGGAAGUAUCCAAUUCUUCUUUUUCAUUUUACACCCGUGUCUUUCUGCUUCAACUGGAUGUUAUUAUGUUAUUAAUAAGCUUGAAAAAGAUAAUGUUAUUAAAGCUAUUCACUAACUCUUGAUAUUGGGCUAUGUGAAAGUAAGGAGGUGAGUUUUGCCAUCGAGUUGUCUAAAAGAUGGUGAAUGGUAACGAUUACCCAGUUGUUCACUGCAUCCAUAAAUGGUUGUUGCGAAGGCAGUCUAAUCGGUCAGGAUUUUAAUCUCCUCUAUGAGAAGAAUAUAGAAAGAUCCACCUGUGGAAAGUGUGUAAAGUGGCCUACAUAGCUACAUCGUUGUGGGCCACCUCUACACUGCGGUUGUAGCUCGCGUUUGUCUCAUGAACUUAGAGACAUAUGGGUUGGUUCUACAUGCUGUCCUCAUCACCAUGAAAAUGUCUCAACAAUUGUCAUAUAUGGUCUGCAAGAUGAGUGGUCUUGGAUAGUUGAUUAAUGAAGAUUGGUUCAGAGAAGUAACUUAAGAAGCUUAAUGGGUGAAGGUGAAAGAGAUUUUUCUGCAAAGUUGCAUUUCAAGUGUUUUAUUUCAAGCCUUGAUAUAAGAUUCUGUACAAAAUGGUUUAACAUGUCUUCUCUUCUUUUAUGUAGUACCCGAUAAAAGUUAUUAAUGAAAUACUCCCUCCGUCCCUAAUUAGAUGAUUUAGUUAAAAUUUACUAGUAAAUUUAAAAAUGAUUUAUCUCUCAAACUAUACAACGGAUUUUCGUAAACUUUCUAUCAUUGGAAAGCAUUUUAA